UCGAUUAGUUUGAUCCUGGCUCAGAACGAACGCUGGCGGCAGGCCUAACACAUGCAAGUCGAACGCCGUAGCAAUACGGAGUGGCAGACGGGUGAGUAACGCGUGGGAACAUACCCCUCGGUUCGGAAUAACUCAGGGAAACUUGAGCUAAUACCGGAUACGUCCGAGGUUUUAAUCGACCUCGGAGAAAGAUUUAUCGCCGGAGGAUUGGCCCGCGUCUGAUUAGCUUGUUGGUGAGGUAAUGGCUCACCAAGGCGACGAUCAGUAGCUGGUCUGAGAGGAUGAUCAGCCACAUUGGGACUGAGACACGGCCCAAACUCCUACGGGAGGCAGCAGUGGGGAAUAUUGGACAAUGGGCGAAAGCCUGAUCCAGCCAUGCCGCGUGAGUGAUGAAGGCCUUAGGGUUGUAAAGCUCUUUUACCCGGGAAGAUAAUGACGGUACCGGGAGAAUAAGCCCCGGCUAACUUCGUGCCAGCAGCCGCGGUAAUACGAAGGGGGCUAGCGUUGUUCGGAAUUACUGGGCGUAAAGCGCACGUAGGCGGAUCUUUAAGUCAGGGGUGAAAUCCCGAGGCUCAACCUCGGAACUGCCUUUGAUACUGGGGAUAUCGAGUCCGGGAGAGGUGAGUGGAACUGCGAGUGUAGAGGUGAAAUUCGUAGAUAUUCGCAAGAACACCAGUGGCGAAGGCGGCUCACUGGCCCGGUACUGACGCUGAGGUGCGAAAGCGUGGGGAGCAAACAGGAUUAGA
rnacentral:rRNA from 1 species